GAUACAACAGUACUGUUGAGAGAAACAACAGAAAGAGCCUUUUCGGACAUAGUGUCCAGGAUGUCAAACUCCCUGCCCCAGAGAGAUCAAAGUUGCCUCCUCUUUGCUUUCUACUGCUUCCUGCAUAUGUUUGUUUGCAGAAAAGUAAUCUUACUUACAUACUUAAUCUUCUUAUAAUUGCUUAUUUUGUUAUAUUACUUGGUUAUUCUAGUAAUUAAUGCAAUGAAAUGAAAUGAAAAAUUUAAAAAUUAACAUUAGAACAUUUCACUGAGUGUUCCCCUAUAGGCUGAAAAAUCUGAUUGGCACCAGGACAAUAUGAAAAGUAAUUUCAAUUUAAUGUGAACUAAUCAUAGAAGAGCAUUGCUAUCUACUGUUUCGUGAAUGAAAGCGUCAGAGGUCCUCACAUUUACAAUAAGAAGCUUAUAAAGAAUUAUCUGGCAACAUUCAGGGGUAGUGGAUGUUACCACUACCUCUAAAGGCUAAACUGCCAUAAUUCAGAGAGAAGAUGAUGGAGUGAUAAGAAAGUUUGAAAGAAAAAAGAAGAAGCUCAAAGAGACAUUCAAAGGGGAGACUGAAGAGCUUCAACACAGGUCAUGUCUUAUAGUUCACAAGUUACACCUUGCAAUUGUUGGUUAAUUGGGUAUCUGUCCACAGAAACCAACUAUCAUGGAGAUACUGAAUGCAUAGAGGAAGGGAAUGGUAUGGUGGCAGGCUCUACCCUAAUUUUCACGUGUCCAUUGAACCUACAUAUGUACAACAUGUAUGCAAAAAAGCAAAUGGAGAGUGAGGGAAGGGCUCCUUCAUGUAUUCAGUGUUUCCUGUUUGGUCAUGUUAAUAGGGCUAUUAUUGGUCCUUAGGGAAUAAGGAAUUUUCCCUGAUCCCUGGAGUAUCAAGCAUCUCCUUGGUAACUGAGAAGGAAGCCAGUGUAUCUCUAAGGAAAUAUCUUGGACAACAUUGUUCUUUCCAUGGUGUCAAGUUGGGGGAAAGCUUUUGAGUUAAUCUCAACAUUAACUUCUCCUGUCUGAAUUCUUUUAAACAAAAAUGCUGUUUCACCAAAACAUAAGUUUGUCUCAGUGGGAAUCCUGCAGAUUGUGUGGAGGAUGGAGUCAGAAAGGAAAAGGGAAAGGAGAAAAUGGAGUUGUUUCUGAAUAAACUCUUAGUUAAAUCUAUAUACGAUUACCUUGUGGUCUCAUCUGGAUGACCUUUAUCCACACGCCUGAUGACACUCUCAAAGAACUCCAAAAGUGGGCCACAAUCCUAGGCAGCCUUAGUGAAAUUGGCAGAGAAAGGCUUGCUUUGCCCAAGCUGUUUUUGGAAGUUUUUAAUCACCCAGUGGGACUGGCAAACUGACUUUAAAUGAGAAGCAGCUUGCCUGUUCCAGCAGGUGGCUGACUGCAAUAAAAGCAUUCCUUAUGGAUCCAGCUGCAGGCAUCCUUCUUCCUUACCCUACUGUGGCUUUCUAGAACUGUGGUCACAAAGGCCAGAGCAAAUUCUUAAGGCUGAUAUAAAGGAAAAAUGGAACAAGCUGGUUGAACAACGGAUGUCUUUAUUAACCAGCUCACCAGGACCUCCUGCCAGAGAGCUCCUUGACAAGAGCCUCGCGAUACUUUAUUGCUCUGGAGACACUUUCUCUGCUAAGCAAACAAUUAACAAAUGCAGGGGCUGAUGUGGGGUAGUGCUUCUGCUGCCUUUUAGGAGUGGAUGCUCUUUUAUCUCCACUUUUGCUGUACUUGUAUAUUUGCAAACAAAGCCAAUAACAUAAAAAUGCCAUCAGUCUCCAGUGCCGCCUCACCCAAAGAAAACCAGUCUGGGAAUGUUUUGCCCCCAGAACAUCUUGCCUCUCAGAGAAGUGGGGAACAUGGAACAAUAUUUAGGAAAUAAGAGCCGAGUUCAUAUGGCACCAGCUUACUUCCUUGAAGACAUUCAAAACCUAGUAAUUCUUGGGAUAUGGUGACUUUAGAUUUUACUGGGUUGCCUCUAAAGAACUCCUAUUCAAAUAAAAAUCACCUGAGCUUUACUGUA